rnacentral:rRNA from 1 species
AUGGCAUCCCAACUCAAAAAUCUUCUGUUUGUCUCGGCUACUUCUCCUCUCCUGCUGUUGCUGCUAUGCAUGGCCAGUGCAAUCAGCCCUGAAGGAGAAGCGCUCCUCCGAUGGAAAUCCACUUUGCUCAACUCCACCUCUCUGUCCUCAUGGUCGCAUGCCAAUCCGACCUGCUAUUGGCACGGCGUCACCUGUGAUGCAGCCGGUCAUGUUACUCUGCUCCGUCUUCCUGCAUGCGACCUCAAAGGUACACUAGAUGCCUUAUACUCUCCUGCAUUCCAGAACCUCACAGGGAUUGAUCUCUACUACAAUAACAUUUUCGGUGUCAUCCCGGUAAAUAUCUCUUUGUUUCUCACCCUCACAAGUCUGGAUUUGAGCUGGAAUAAUCUUGUUGGUGACAUCCCCUACCAGCUCAGCAAUCUCCCAAAGAUUGCUGAGUUAGAUUUGGGAAAUAACCACUUGACCAACCCAGACCAUACCAAGUUCUCGCCUAUGCCCACUUUGUCGCUAUUAUCUCUAAAUAGCAACAACCUACAUGGCACCUUUCCACAGUUCAUCCUCAACCGUACCAACGUUUGGUUGGUACAACUUGACCUAUCAAGUAACUCCUUCACGGGUUCGAUACCGACGACCCUGCCAGAUAUAGCACCAAAUUUAAGGCUCAUUGAUCUAUCCUCCAACAUGUUCUUCGGGUGCAUACCACAGUCGCUCUCCAAACUUGCAAGGAUUGAAAGCCUCUAUCUCCAGGAGAACAAUCUUACUGGAGGAAUCCCAAAGGGGCUCAGUAACCUAACUAAUCUGGGAAACAUGGACCUGUCAAGGAACAUACUCUCUGGAGAGUUGCCACCGUCUUUUUCUAGGAUGAAUAAAAUGCAAACGUUUCAAGUGGGGAACAACCACCAUCUCAGCGGCAGCAUCCCAUUGGAGUGGUUCUCAAACUGGACCUUGCUCCGUACUUUUGAUGUGGCAAACAACGACUUGGUCGGGAGCAUCCCACCGGAGAUCACUAGGUGGGAGGUAAUAGACACACUGGUCCUCCGAGGCAACUGCCUCAUCGGAAAGGUCCGUGCAGAGCUAGGAUAUCUCCCCAACCUUUAUGCACUGGACCUAUCCAGUAAUAACCUUACUGGUACAAUACCAUUGGAGUUUGGUAAUUUGUCUUAUUUACAAAUCCUUGACCUCAGCAACAACCUCUUGGAGGGAGAGAUUCCAGGAAUCUUGUCCCUCCUUCCUCUCACUGAUAUACUCCUGUCUGGAAACAAGUUCACGGGCAUCGCCGACAAUAAUUUUUGUGAGCUACCUAAUCUAAAACUAUUGGACUUGUCGAAGAAUCUCAUAUCUGGAGCGGUCCCUGGUUGUUUUUGGAACAUACCUUCUGUUACAUACAUGGAUUUGUCAAGCAAUGCCUUUGCUGAAGAAGUUACAGCCUCGGCGGUUGACUUUUCUCAACUAGAUUCAGUAGAUCUAUCAAACAACAACUUGACAGGCUGCUUUCCAUCUGUUCUGAAGAACUUAGAACUCCUGGAAUUUUUGGAUCUUGGAGGCAAUAUGUUUUCAGGCAAAAUUCCUUCAUGGAUAGGAGCUAGCCUCUCUAUGCUAAGAAUUCUCCGGCUGUGGUCAAAUAUGUUUCAUGGAAGUAUUCCUUGCGAGGUAUCACAACUCUCUGAUCUCCAGUUGCUUGACCUUGCUGACAACAAUCUUACAGGUCACAUACCUGUAAGUUUUGCUAACUUUAAUUACACAAUCAUGACAAAGCCAGAACUGGAACAUAACAGCGGGCCCAUGGUGAUGGUUGACAGCUUUCUGCCUCACUACAGUGACCAGGUUGACAUAAUCUGGAAGGGGCGUGAUUAUAAUUACAGUAGAAAAAUUAUGCUUAUGACUGGUAUUGAUCUAUCAAGCAACUACCUUUCUGGUGAGAUCCCUGCAGAAUUGUUGAAUCUUGGAGCCAUUCGGUUCCUGAACCUGUCAAGAAAUAAUUUAUCUGGUGCUAUCCCAAGUAACAUUGGUAAUUUAAAAGAUGUGGAGUCUCUUGACCUCUCAUGGAACAAGCUCUCAGGUCCUAUUCCUCCAAGCAUAUCACACCUGAUGUUCCUCAGCUCUCUUAAUCUCUCCAACAACCUUCUUCAAGGAGAGAUACCUUCAGGAAAUCAGCUACAAACACUGGAUGACCCCUCCAUCUAUAGCAACAACCUGGGACUAUGUGGUGUCCCCCUGAGCAUUCCAUGUAAAAAUGGUUCGAGUUCUACAACAGCACUGGAUGGGGCAAAGGAAGGCCACCAUCAACUUGAAACCCUGUGGCUGUACUACUCAGUGAUUGCUGGAACUGUCUUUGGUUUCUGGAUAUGGUUUGGAACAUUGUUUUUCUGGAGCAUCUGGAGGUUUACGUUCUUCAGUUGCAUCGAUGCCAUGCAGCAGAAGUUUAUGCUGAAGAUGAAGCGUACCUGA